UCUUUGCUAGUAUAUCGGUUAGUACACGCGCCUGUCAUCACAAGACUUGACCACUGUAGGUCGCGCGAAAGCUGGGUUCGACUCCCAGGCAGAGAG